rnacentral:rRNA from 1 species
UACGGAGGGUGCAAGCGUUAUCCGGAUUCACUGGGUUUAAAGGGUGCGUAGGCGGCUUUAUAAGUCAUUGGUGAAAGCUCGCAGCUUAACUGUGAAACUGCCAAUGAAACUGUUUAGCUUGAAUGUGGUUGAAGUGGGCGGAAUACAACAUGUAGCGGUGAAAUGCUUAGAUAUGUUGUAGAACACCGAUUGCGAAGGCAGCUCACUAAGCCAAUUAUUGACGCUGAGGCACGAAAGCGGGGUAGCGAACAGG